CAUUCCAGCCGUGCGUUUACAUGUCAAGCUCACCCUUGUAAAUGCAUCGUCUGGAAUGUU
rnacentral:pre_miRNA from 1 species